GAUGAACGCUGGCGGCGUGCCUAAUACAUGCAAGUCGAGCGAACGGACGAGAAGCUUGCUUCUCUGAUGUUAGCGGCGGACGGGUGAGUAACACGUGGAUAACCUACCUAUAAGACUGGGAUAACUUCGGGAAACCGUAGCUAAUACCGGAUAAUAUUUUGAACCGCAUGGUUCAAAAGUGAAAGACGGUCUUGCUGUCACUUAUAGAUGGAUCCGCGCUGCAUUAGCUAGUUGGUAAGGUAACGGCUUACCAAGGCAACGAUGCAUAGCCGACCUGAGAGGGUGAUCGGCCACACUGGAACUGAGACACGGUCCAGACUCCUACGGGAGGCAGCAGUAGGGAACCUUCCGCAAUGGGCGAAAGCCUGACGGAGCAACGCCGCGUGAGUGAUGAAGGUCUUCGGAUCGUAAAACUCUGUUAUUAGGGAAGAACAUAUGUGUAAGUAACUGUGCACAUCUUGACGGUACCUAAUCAGAAAGCCACGGCUAACUACGUG
rnacentral:rRNA from 1 species